ensembl:lncRNA
GCCGCCGGGCGGGCGGAGGUGCCGGCGGAGCGGCGCGGUGCCGGCGCAGAUUAUCUGAAAUCCACUGCUGGACCUAUGCUAUCAACUGUUGAGUGGACGGAUCAUUUUGUGUAUUUUUUAGUUUGAUUUUGCUAAGCCUAUUUUGCCUUUUUACUAGAAAAAAAAUGGUGUGGGAAAAGUUUUUACUCUUAUGUUACGGGUGUAUGAUUUUGUCUCAAGCGACUGAGAAUGAGAGUACUGAACCAAAUUUAGCUUGGGAAUUGAUACAAGGAUUUAUGCAUAUUUGGAAUCAUACAAAUCAAGGAAUAUGUAUUAACCUCCCCAACUCUGCAUCAGAGGGGUUUAGAUUUAUGAUGAUUUGGUUAAAUUUUUCGGAAAUAUUAACAAGAGAACUGGAUAAUCUUAAAAAAACAGGUGGAAAUGUUACCUGGGGAAUGGUGGAGUCCCAGUUCCUAGACCAGAAAGAAGGACAACAAUGGGAUGCCAAUGGGACAUGGGUAGAAUACAAGAACGCCUUUUACCAGCUCCCACGUGACUCUACCUGGAGUGAUUUAUGGAAUCAGACAUGCUAUCGGUCAUUAGACACCAACCCUUCUGAGACAGUGCAAAAUGUCACUUCUAUCCCUUGCACGGUGGUACCAUGGUGGGAUUCUCCUGCUGAGGGUGGGUUUUUUGAACAUGAGUACAAUUUACAUUGGGAUGCAGGAUGGUGUAUACAAAUCCCUGAUAACCCAGGAACCACGCACCAAGUUAACCGAACAAAUUAUGAGUGGGCCUGGUCUCUGAAACAAAUCUUUGACCCUAUAUCUACUCUACAAUGGGCUUCCAGGGUCCCCACAGGGAAAAUAGUAGAAUGGGAAGUGGAGAAAUCAGACUGUAAGGACCACCAAACCACACUACCUAAUGGAGAGAGCAUCUGCUGGAAAGUGAGGAACCGUAGAAGCCUUACCCAAAGUAAAUCAGAGACCUCCUUUCUGAAUUGUUCCCGUAUAUUAGAUUGUACCACAGGAGCAGGUGAGCCUAUAGAAACCUGGUACAUCUCGGAGCUGAGAACUUUUAUCCGGGACAUGUGUACCUGUUGGGAUUAUCCCAACUACGGCUAUCUAAACCAAGACACCCGAUGCAAUGGGUCUUAUGAAAAUUCGGAGACAGCGCUAUCCUGUGGCAUUCCCAUUACACAUGGCCCUGACCAAAGAAAGGUCUGGAAUUCAAGUAGUGAAGCACAGGAAGUUCCCCACGGUGACCUCUAUCAGUGUUCGCAAGCCAAAUAUCCAGCUCCACGGGGAACGGUAUGGGCAUGCUCAGAUGGGAAAAUGUAUUCCCACUUGAACAUGUAUGAUAUGGCUGGACUCCAGUGUACUAUUGGGUUUCCUACCAUGUGUCCAUCUAAAACGUUCAAUUAUACACUUUAUCGUAACAACAAAGCACGGAGAGAAAUCCACAAUCCAACAGAUGCAAAAGGGUGGAUUCAGGGGAUUCAAGUCCCCAACUAUUACACCUGGGGACAAAAUGUUGCUUUAGACUUAGAAUCAUUUUUUGUGUCCAGUGGAGUUAUCCAACAGCACAAGUAUGUCUUGGAGAACUUAACUAGGCAAGUCCACGUGUUAAGCAACUGGACCGGACGUUCAGUCGGGGAACCGAACGUGCAGGCCCCACAGACACCAGAAAUGGCUUUGCAGAGCCGAUUAGCCAUAGAUAUGUUGUUGCUGAAAGAGAAUGGAGUGUGUGGGAUGCUAAACCUAACGGAUGGAGAAUGCUGUGUCACUGUCCAUAACGCUACCACCACAAUGGAAGAGGCACGUCAGAAGAUGAAGGAGAUUGCUGAACAAACAGGAGAACUGUUUCAAGCAAUGCAACCCAAGGAUUAGUUUGAUGGACUGAGCCUGGAUUGUGGAUCACAUGUGCCUUGGAUUUAUGGGAUGGGGAAGGUGGCUUGUGUGCAUUGACCUUAUGACUGUGUGUAUUCUUGGGUUUGGUGAUAGGUCAAGAAGUCAUGCCAAACUGUGAUGAGUUAAUUAUGGUUAUAGACGAAAGGGACAGAAUUUCUAGCACUGUAUAAUUCCAUACUAUUCAUGUCAUGGCAAGAACGGGGCUGGAGCGGGGGAAGUCAGGGGCUGGAAGAGUGGCCAUCUUUUGCUAUGCUUGGGGAUGUGGCUUUUCUGACUGAUGCUCAAAGACAGUGCCAGUGAGUCCAAGAGCUGGUGAGCUGCUCUGAGAAAAAGAAAAGAGAGAAAGCAGCACCAUGGCAGAGCCCAGCUGAGCCAUGUGGAGCCCAGGCUGCAGCUGCUGUGACAGCAGCCACUGGAGCUGCUGCUGGAACCACCAAGCUCUCCAGUCCUGCUCCUGCAAAGUCAGGCCCAGGAGGAGGGUCCUCUGACCUGCUUCAGAGGCCUGUCGGGUCCUACCAGGUUUUGCCUUGUCCCUGCUCUUCCAUUGUUUUCAGUCUUAGAGGGAAAGUUAAAUUGCAAGCCUUUCAACAUUCUGCUUUUGUUUUUCCAUAUACACCAUGCUGCCUAGCACUGGGCCAGCCAUCAUUUUGUCUUUGUUUUGGAAAACCACACUGGAUGUGGUCUUUGGGAAGUGUUUUUGUUUGUUCAGUGGUACCCUUUGAGGGGGGUAAAAGAUUCUCUCUUUUGUACACUGUUUUAUUAAUAUUGUUGUGGUUAUUGCAAUUUUUCAGUAAACUGUGAUUCC